UGGGGAAUCUUGCGCAAUGGGCGAAAGCCUGACGCAGCCAUGCCGCGUGAAUGAUGAAGGUCUUAGGAUUGUAAAAUUCUUUCACCGGGGAAGAUAAUGACGGUACCCGGAGAAGAAGCCCCGGCUAACUUCGUGCCAGCAGCCGCGGUAAUACGAAGGGGGCUAGCGUUGCUCGGAUUUACUGGGCGUAAAGGGCGCGUAGGCGGACAGUUUAGUCAGAGGUGAAAGCCCGGGGCUCAACCCCGGAAUUGCCUUUGAUACUGGCUGUCUUGAGUUUGGGAGAGGUAUGCGGAACUCCGAGUGUAGAGGUGAAAUUCGUAGAUAUUCGGAAGAACACCAGUGGCGAAGGCGGCAUACUGGCCCAAUACUGACGCUGAGGCGCGAAAGCGUGGGGAGCAAACAGG
rnacentral:rRNA from 1 species